GACGAACCGUGCGAACGUUAUUCGGAAUCACUGGGCUUAAAGGGCGCGUAGGCGGGCCCGCAAGUCAGGGGUGAAAUCCCACGGCCCAACCGUGGAAGUGCCUCUGAUACUGCGGGCCUCGAGGGAGGUAGGGGCGUGCGGAACUCAGGGUGGAGCGGUGAAAUGCGUAGAUAUCCUGAGGAACACCGGUGGCGAAAGCGGCGCGCUGGACCUCUUCUGACGCUGAGGCGCGAAAGCCAGGGGAGCAAACGGG
rnacentral:rRNA from 1 species